GAAGGGACCCAGUCCACCUUUGUGACAGAACUGGCGUCUUUUUUUUCUUCCUGUUUUUACAUCUUUAACCUACAGUACCAAGAGGAGGCAGCCUGCACGCUUGAAUUCAUCCAGAGAUGCUUUGUGGGUAUAAACCCAGAAAAAAAGGACAAAGGUUGCAAAGAGGAAAAAAACGAAGAACGGUCAAUUCACACGUCACCAUCCUCUUGCGUAGGCUCAUGGACUUUCAGUGGGAUUUCAUUUGAAAAUGAACCAAGACGUUCCAAAGGAUCCUCAUUGUGUGCUUUGUUUUACAAAAUGGUUAGUGGUCUAAGCAGUGACAGUGUUAUUAUUGUUUAUUGCUCUUUACAGUAUUGACCAGGAGUUCCAUGAAUUUAAGUUAAGUCUUAGCUUGAAUGUAUUCAUCCACGUUGAAUUUAAGUGGUUUGGGUAACAUUAAGUGUUGAGGUUCAGUAUUUUGUUAUAUUGAACAAUGUAUUUGGGUUUAAAAAUGUAUUUGCUACAACUAUUUUUAAGCCAUAAACAUGAGAUUUGUUUGUCAUUAAUCUCAGCCUAUGUGUAACAUUUUUGAGUGACCAGGAGUUUGAGUCUUACAGGGAGGUGUGUUCAGGUGCAUUCUGGGUGUGCUGGUCUUACA